CUUGGGGGCAGGCAGGGCCCGGAAGCUCUGGGGGGCUCCACUCGGCUACCCCCCUUUCUCCAGCCACGGCCUGCACCUCAGCCCACUCUGGCUCCCUCACAGGCGUCUUCUGUCCUGCGACCAGGGCGGGGGCCUCCGGGAAGGCAUCCUACACGGACAGGCCAGGCUCCCUCACCUGCCACGAGAACCUCAGGACACACCUGCCCCUACUUGCAGGCACAGCCCUGUCCCUGCCUAAUGCAAGCCCAAUCCAGUGCCUGCAGUGGCCCUGGGACCUGGGGGCUGAGCCUGGGGAGACACGCCUAGGGCCGGGCAGGACAGAGCCCACUACCCCCGCCAAGGCCUGGAGCUGCUGAAGCAACAGGGCAUGGGCAGCUCUGGAGGAGGUGACCAGUAAGAGCCCGGCAAGAAGGAAAGCGGCCCUGUGGGUGGAGCAGGAGGGUCUCCUUGGACCAGGGGUCCUCACCCAACAGCAGGCCACACCGUUCCGGAAAGCCACAGUGUGGGGCAGGGGCGGGAGCCGGUCCCUGGGGAGCCCUGCCCGGGAGGGGAACGCAGCCUUGGGGAAACCCCUUUCUUCCUCCUCAAAGGCAAACGUCUGGAGACAAAUGAGUUCCCCUCGCCCAGCUCGGCCCCCACAGGCCGCAGCUCCCUGAAGCCACAGGCCCCGGAGGCCCCUGACUCAGGUACAGACUGAGCCCCGCUGUCUGUGAAGCAGGAAUAGAGCAUCCUCGGGUCUUCCGGAACAGACACACGCACAGAGCUCGGAUAACGACGCGCGAGGCUCUGGCUGCACACACCUGCCUUCGGCUCCUGGAACAAGCCAAGGUGGCCCCCUCCGCCAGGCCCGGCCCGAGCUCCGCAUCGCCCAGCUGGCAGCAAAAUCUGCCCCGGCUACUUGGAGGGGCCCUCCCUCCACCAGGAGCCAACUGUCGGGCCUCCUCCUGUUUAAUUCAUUCACAACACUGGUGACCUGAGAUUACCCUGUUCGUUCACCCUUUACAGUCCGUCCCUACUGCCCCUCAGUCCCCGACACAGGCACAGGAAAGAACCUCUUCCGUCUCGUCCCCUGCUCUAUCUCCAGGCCCCAAACCAACGCCUGGUGGUCGAAUUUGACUGGAUUAAUGAAAGAGUGAGCACUUGAAGAAACAAAAGCCCUUUCUGAUGCCUGCACUGGGUACAUUCAAGGCACUGAGGGCCUAUUUCUCCGGUUAAUAAUUUAACCACUAGAGUUGAAUAGGGUUACCUAAUGGCAACGGUAAGAACAAUUUCUAUUUUUAAAAUCCAUACUGAAAUUAAUCACAUGCAAGCCUCCCGGGCCGUUAUCACAGGGUUUGAACAGCGGCACUUUGCAGGGACAAAAGCCUUCCUCAAAGGCCCGGGGCACAGGGACACUGGCAAAGCAGUGAGCUAUUUUUCUUCAGCGUUUCCCAAGGGUUGUUUGGAGGGCAGCGAGGUCUCACUCACACGCUCUGCAACCUCGGAGGCUGGUGACAAGGGCAAGCAAGGGAGUCUAUCCCAGGGAGGUGAGGAUGUGGUCCUGUGCCAAGCAACAAGAAAUAUGGGUGUCGGGUCACUUCAGCAGGUGGGCAGGGGUAAAAGUCUUUGCCGAGGGUCCAAGAGGCAACACGGGUGCCCCACAAUUCAAUGUCCCUGGUCCCGCUCGGCUGUGGGCUCCCAAUCAUUAGACCAUUUAGGUGACUGCAGGGCCGAGCUGUCACCUCCAGAGGAUGGGUGGGGAGGCCACAGGACGGCCACUGGCUCUUGCCAGGCUUUGUGGGUGACACCUGAAGAGUCUGAGACACACCCCUCUUCUGGCGGCUCUGGUGACAUCACUGAACUAACCCGUCUGUCCCGCAGGCCAGAGGCUGAGUCACGCCAGGCAGGCAGAACCACGGCUGUUUUAGUGAGAGGAAAAACAGCCCAGCCGGAACCAAACUUUCCUCCUUGACUCAGUUCCCCCUUGGGCGGGUGCCAGGGGGGCUUUCAGGCCUCAACAGGCAGACAGCAUUGGAGAAGCAAGAGCUCUCGGCACUCACUAGCUCAUUCAUUCAUUCACUUGACACGGUCCCUGCCAAAAGGGUCUCGAGUUAAGAGGCCACAGUGGUUGUGAACGUGCUGGGUGGGCUCAGGGAGGGGGCACCUGGGACCCCUGCUCCUGGGGCCCUGAAUCUCAAAACACACCAAGCCUACAUCUGGGACUUCCUCCAGAUUCGCUGGCUCCGGCUCAGUGGGUCGGGGGAGCCGGAGGAAACACUGGGAUAAUAUGUCAUCAGCACAAGGGAAGCACAGGAAGGCUUGGUGGGGGAGAGCCGCCCGCGGCUUCACAAACAAGGUGGUGUUUGAGCCAACGCUGAAAAUAAACAGGAGUUUCCCUGGUGGAGGGGCAGGGCCCUGGCCCCAGCACACCGGCUGGCAAAGGCUGCACCUGCUCGGUCUCAGAGAGGAAACUGAGGCACAGAGAGAUGAAGGGACUUGCCCAAGGACACCCAGUUGGAAAGCAGCCGAGCAGAGAUCUGCACCAGGUCGGUGGGCUCUCGAGUCUUGCUCUAACCACUGACACAGCUCACUUCACACUCCGUCCUUCACUGAAAUGCACCAGGUCCACGGCCUUCAGGAAUGCAUCAUGGGGCAAACACCCACAGAAGCCAAGCUCCAACCUGGACAAACAAGUCACCCGAGCCCCGGAGCCAGGAAGCCAGCUGCCCACGGGGGCCAGCUGUGCACGCGAUGCAGCAGAGCAAAGUGGAGCCAUGGCACGAAGCAGCGAGCACACGGCAGGGAAAGGGCCACACACUACGACAGCUACCCACGGCCUCUGGCUCAGCUCAGACCCCACGAUGGCGUGUAGGGUGCAAGGAUGAGACAAAGGAAGGAGGAACUGACUCUGCAGGCCCUGGCCAGAGGGGACCGAAGGGGGUGGGGAUGGACAAAUGGGGGACGACGGUCAGGGCAGAGGAGCCAGCAGGUGCAGAUCUGGAAACAGCUUUCAAACUGCAUCGAACCACUGAACUUAAUUCCCAAAUACUGUCUGUGUCCCACCCACUGCAUUAGUAAAGAGACGCUAAAGAACGCCCGGCUGGGGGAUGUUUAAAAACAUACUGACGCCACAGCUCCAAUCCAGACCAAGUCAACCCCAUACUCUGGUGCACAGACAUUGACAUUUUAAAAAAAAGCUCCCAGGUGAUCCUCACACCACACCGUCGGUAUGGUAACCACUUGGUGAACUCGACUCAGAUGUCCUGGAAGCCGCAAAUGCACAUAGGGUUUCAAAGCCUUAGCAUGGGAAAAAAGCACGAUAUCCCAUAGAUAAUUCUUUAUACCGAUUACCUGUUGAAAUUGUGCCAGUUUGAAUGCACUGGGUUAAAUAAACGAAAUUAUUAUGGGAUGCUGGUGUUCUGAACACAGGGGCACCGACCUGGCCCGGGGAGGCCUGGCUCUGAGGUCGGGCCAGUUCCCCGAGGCAGGGUGCCCAUGUCUCUGCUUCACCCCAAAGUGUGACCCGCUCCCUCCUGAGUGCUCUCCACUGGCCCACCCAUCAGGACUACUGUUUUCAAGUUUACUCUCCUUGAAAAUGAUUUUUAAAAUUAACUUCACCUGAUUCUUUUUACUUUCUGAGUGGUUAGUAGAACAUUUCAAAUGACAGGUGGCUC